AGGAUUAUAAUUUAUAUAAAAUAUUUGAAUUGCAAUCAAAAAUUACUAAUUACUAGUUAAUCUU